AGUAGGGUCGGCUAAUAAAGCUCUUGGGCCCAUACCCCAACAAUGUUGGUUAAAAUCCUUCCCCUACUA
rnacentral:tRNA from 1 species